GACGUAGGUGGCGAACGUUAUCCGGAAUUAUUGGGCGUAAAGGGUGCGUAGAUGGCCUGAUAAGUUAGCAGUGGGAAAUCGAGGCUCAACCUCGUGGAAGCUGGUAAUACUGUCAGGCUCGAGUGCAGGAGAGGUUAACGGAACUCCAUGUGGAGCGGUGAAAUGUGUAGAUAUAUGGAAGAACACCAAGAACGGCGAAGGCAGUUAACUAUUCUGUUACUGACAUUGAGGCACGAAAGCGUGGGGAGCAAAACGG
rnacentral:rRNA from 1 species